UACGUAGGGGGCUAGCGUUGCUCGGAAUCACUGGGCGUAAAGGGUGCGUAGGCGGGUCUUUAAGUCAGGGGUGAAAUCCUGGAGCUCAACUCCAGAACUGCCUUUGAUACUGAGGAUCUUGAGUUCGGAAGAGGUGAGUGGAACUGCGAGUGUAGAGGUGAAAUUCGUAGAUAUUCGCAAGAACACCAGUGGCGAAGGCGGCUCACUGGCCCGAUACUGACGCUGAGGCACGAAAGCGUGGGGAGCAAACAGG
rnacentral:rRNA from 1 species